rnacentral:rRNA from 1 species
GAAACGACCGCUAAUACCGCAUAAGCCGGAAGGAUCGCAUGAUUCGGCCGGAAAAGAUUUAUCGGUGUGAGAUGGACCCGCGUCUGAUUAGCCAGUUGGCAGGGUAACGGCCUACCAAAGCGACGGUCAGUAGCCGGCCUGAGAGGGUGAACGGCCACAUUGGGACUGAGACACGGCCCAAACUCCUACGGGAGGCAGCAGUGGGGAAUAUUGCACAAUGGGGGAAACCCUGAUGCAGCGACGCCGCGUGAGUGAAGAAGUAUUUCGGUAUGUAAAGCUCUAUCAGCAGGGAAGAAAAUGACGGUACCUGACUAAGAAGCCCCGGCUAACUACGUGCCAGCAGCCGCGGUAAUACGUAGGGGGCAAGCGUUAUCCGGAUUUACUGGGUGUAAAGGGAGCGUAGACGGCCAGACAAGUCAGAAGUGAAAGCCCAGGGCUCAACCCUGGGACUGCUUUUGAAACUGCCGGGCUGGAGUGCAGGAGAGGUAAGCGGAAUUCCUAGUGUAGCGGUGAAAUGCGUAGAUAUUAGGAGGAACACCAGUGGCGAAGGCGGCUUACUGGACUGUAACUGACGUUGAGGCUCGAAAGCGUGGGGAGCAAACAGGAUUAGAUACCCUGGUAGUCC